UUUCUCUUUAAAACUAAAUUUAAAAGUGAUCUCAAAUAUAAUUAAUUCUUCAUUAUAAAGCUUUCACUUCUAGCAAAAAGAGACCUCUUUUGGAAGGGUAUGGUGCAUUUUUUGAUGAUCCAGUGACAAUGGAUGCAUUGCAUUCCCAACAGACUGAACUAGUUCUUCUUGCACAGUUGCACCUCAGUAGGUACAACAUAUUGUUGUGCUCUUUCUCAGCUGACUCUUCUCUGCAAAAAAAUAUAGGGACACUUUUACUUCUAUCACAUCCACCUGCACGACUUGCCAUCACUUGAACCACAGGAAUCAUAUGGAAAUGUUUACAAUAUUCACUAGAGAUCCCAAUGAAAGCCACAGACAUCAACAAACCCUACAAAGUCAUGAAAUUUAAUGCAAAAGUACUGCUAGACUUCAAGAAAAUCUGUAUGGCAAGAUAUCGUGAGACAGGAAUUUUAAAAUCAAGCAUUCAUUGUGUUUUGAAGCACUGUUAUUAAAACAGAUACUUUACAAUUAAUAAUAAAUGCUGCCACUGAAAAUGAUUUGGAUUGGAUACUGCAAUUUUGCAAAUGGUACUUGGCCAGAUGUGCAAAGGAUACACAGACUCCAAGAAAGACUGUCUGGUAUGAUGGUUAUAUUUAAAAGGGAGAUUUAUAAAAAUCUUUCUGGUGAUUCUUUUACAUUAAAGAAAUAAAUCAUAUGUUAUGAUUAUUCAGUAUGUACGUGUAUAGAUCUUUAUGGAAUACUCUAUAUUCUAAUAAGAUAUUUCAGCAGAAAAACUAAAAAUUUAUAUCCAUAGACUGUAAUUCAAGUAAUUGGUUAAAGAAUUGUUAAUAGAUGAAUGCACAGACAGAUAUAUUAUCACCAAAUUUUUAUACUUAUUCAAUUUUUACAAUGUUACUUUGACACUAGAACAAAAUUUUCCAACAAAUUUAAGAGAUCCAUUACGAAAUUAUUUCAUCACAGUGUCUUUCUCCAUGUCACCCUAAAAUAAUUUUUUAUUGAUUUGAAUCUUAAGACUCUUAAAUUUUGUAAAAUUACCAUAAACUUAUCAAAAAAUUUUCUAAUUUUUUUUCUUUUAAAACAAACAGUUGGGUACACAAGCCAAAAUGCACAGUUUGCUGUCCAGUACUAUAUACUUAAAAAGUCUUCAUUUAGCUUAUUAGACUGCAGUUUUGCAUGUCUCAUAAAACUUGCUCAUUCAUCCCCUAUGUUUAAAAAAAAAAUCAAAGUGAAGAUUGUAAUGAUACGUAGGAUUGUAAAGCAAUAAAAAGCAGAUAAGAAAUUUGAUGCUGAACUGAAUAAAACAGCAAUAAAUAAAAAGGAAUAUUUUUCACUCUAGCCUUCUCUCAGGAUAGCUCUGGCUUGAUCUCUCAAGUUAACUAAAAUACUGUUCAUAUUACAUAGUAUUCCAUUUACACUGUAAAUAUAUAUUUAUACAUAUCCGUAAAGAAAUCAAUGUGUAAAUAAUCAAAUUUUUUUCUGAACAAAUAAAAAAUUUACAAUAAAAAACUAGAAGACAAAAUUAUAAAUUAUUAUCUUAUUCAUGAGGCACAAUAAAUUAAACUGCAGCAUGCAAAAUCUUUGGAAAUUUUUUUAUGCUUUACAACAUCGUUCAUAUGUGACAGGAAAGAAAAACAGCAAUUACAAUCAUUACAUGCUGCUGUACAAAUUUUAAUCACUAAUAAAACUAAGUUUGAUUUGCCUCUAUGAGAGGCACUAACAGAAGCUUUUGAUUUGAAGAAAUAAAUCAAUAAGGGGAGAAAAAUUACUGUUCAAAACUGCAUCACAUGUCUAUAACAAAGGUCAAUAACAACAUUUCAAUGAAAUACAAACAAUUUCUUUGUUGAAAAUGCUUCUAACAAUGAUUAUAUAUUUAAUAAAAUAAAGCUAUCACUACAUAAAACAUUUUUUAUAUGUUCUUUAUUUAGUAUUUUGAAAGAACAACAUAAACUUAUCACCAUUUUAUUACAUUAAAUAUGAAACUGCUAUCACACUUUUCUUUAACAAAUUAAAAUUACAGAUAAUUGUAGCAUUUACCCUUAACUAUCAAAAUGUCAAUUAUUCAUUCAAAAUUAACACUGCUACCAUUUAAUAUUUGUACAUUUAAAAGCAUAAAAGAAAAAAUGAAAUGAAAAACUCUUUAUUUUCAAUUAAAAUAUUUCUCAAGUGGUUUAUUUUAUGCAUUAUCUCUCUUUCUCUCUCUCUAUAUAUAUAUACAUAGAGAGAGAGAGAGAGAGAAAAGUAAUAAAUUUAGAACCAGUUCCACAAAGACCCAAAAGAAGUGAAAUAAUGUACCUCCUCUUAAUAACAUUAUAUCAGAUUUGAUUGCACUCCUCUUCCUAUAUAUUUAUUUUUUUGUGGGUUUUUGUAUUAUGCAUUUCUUAAAUUCUUCCAACUUGUGGUUAACUUUACACACUUUUAGGGAAUUUUGACAUCUAAUAGCACUGAUUUUCACUUCUUUUGGGUCUGUGGGAUUGGUUCUAAAUUUCUUACUUUUUGUCUACACUGAUUAAUUUUCAGCAACAUAUUCCACAUAAAAAACUUGAGAAAAAUAAUUUUUUAAUUGUGAUAUUAUAUAUAUAAACAGUUUUACCAUGUUUAAAAUAAAAAGACGUAGCAAAUGUUGAUGGCAUAGCCCAUACAUAGAUAGCUUAGAAUGUGUUCCAUAUUGAAGAGGAAGUAUUCUGAUAGCGCAGAAUGCUAAAAUGUUGAAUCUGUUAUGACUAGGAAAAUUGAUAGCCGAGUAAGAUUAAAUAUUUAUUUUUAUUUAGAUUCACAUUUGUGGCCACAAUUCACUUGGCAUUCUAAUAAUUAAAAUAUUUACAUUUUUGAUACUAUUGUGAUAGGAAGAGAACACAGUGAAAUAACAUCCAGGUAGCAACAGAGGUAUAAGCGAAGUACACAAUAUCCAAUAUAGCAGUUAUAUAACAUGGAUUGAAUGAUCUAGAAAUGAAGCAGUUCAGAAAAAUUAGUACGAUUAUUAGAAUAGAGAAAGAGAUUAAGGAUUACUGCUAAUUUAUAUUACAAUUUCGAUUUACAUAUUUUUUAUCUUAUGAAUAUAUUAAACACGGCAAGACUGUUUACUAUUUCAGUAAAUUCCAUCUUCAUGAGAAAAAUUAAGAUUAUGCGGGAUACAUUGCAAACAAGAAAAAUUUCCUGAUAAUUUUAAUGCAAAUAUUGUAUUAACAUAAACUUAUUGUAUUAUAAUGAUAAAUAAAAUUACUUAAGAAUUAAGUAAUUUUAUUUAUCAUAUAUAAUACAUUAAGUUUAUGUUACAGUUUAAAAGCUCAAUGUGACAAAAAUAUUAAAAGAAAUAUUUAACCACAUGGCAAUUUAUAUAAAAUAUUUUAAAUCUGUAAUGCGUAAUAAAAAAUGAAAAUUAUCUCCGUGGAAAUUCUAAGUGAAAUUUAGAAAGCAAAUGUACACUAUUGUGGUAAUGAUUAAUAGGAAUUUGUGAAUAAAUAUAUUGUAAAUACUAAUAAAAUAAAAGAAUAAAACAAGAGAACUAUUGCUGAUAAAUAGAGAGAAGGGAAAUUGAAUUCUCUCCAUACAACCAUCAAUAAUUCAAGAUAAGAACGUUUCAUCAUCUUGCAUAUCUGAACAAAUCCCCUUUUAAAUUUUAGAAAAUUUGAAUUACAUCUAUAUAUAUAUAUAUACGUGUGCAUGUGUUGCUUUUAAUAUGAGCAAAAAUUAUAACUGUAAGAAAGUAUUUCACUGUAGUUUAAAUAUUCUCAAACUUACAUUAAUUUUCACAACUAACAGUUCUACUUUAUGACAAAAGUAAAUGCAAUAGUUAAAAUUUAAUUAUUAAGUAUCACAAAUGACGUUGAAUUGAAUAUUUUAUCAAUAUCUCAGUCAUUAAACUAAGGAUACUAAAUUUUGAGAACUGCAUGAUCACUACAGGGCAUUUGUUUUACACCAAAAAUUCUUUCUCUACUACAAAAUCUAACUUAAUACUUACUAACUUGCUUUUAUAUAUAAAACAAUAAAUUUAUAUGAUGCUUAACCAUCAUUUUUGUACAGAUUACAACAACUAAGUCAAUUUAUUAAUUUAUAUUUAAAAUAAAAAGGUAAUUUCAUUAAGAUUAGAAAAUCAAAUUAUACCAUUUUAUACUCUUAUUGUUUCAAUUUAGUAAUAAAUAUUCUUCAAAACACAGGCUGCUUUAAUAAAGUUCAAAGAUCAUACAUGACUAUGUUUAAAUGAGCAAGUGACUUAUCAGAGGUCUACCAGGGAAAGCAAAAUUGUAAUCAACUGUCAAAAUUCCAUUAAAAAAACUCCAAAUGCAGCAACCGACUACAAAAAAGAAAGCAAAAGGAUCAUCCAAUAAUUACUGAUAAAAAUAAAAGAAAAAAAGGCCUAAAUUUAAUGGAGAAUAUAUUGACAAAUUUCUGUUUAAAAUAACUUUAUAACUUGCAAAUUGAAAAGAAACUAGAAACAACCAUCAGCUAAAAAUGAACAUGAAAUAAAAACCGAAUUAUUUAAAAAAAAAAUAUUUUUGAAUAAAUUUGGGCCACUGAGUUUAUUAUAAAAAAUAAUUUAUAGCACAAGUUUAAUUUUUUUAAAUUCAAAGUUUUACUACUUAUUAUGCAAAAAAUAUAUAUUUUGAAAUUAAUAAUAUAACUGAAAAACAUUUCAAAACUUUAUCCCUAUUAUGCUUAGUCAUUUAUGAUUUCUCUAUGAAUUCAAAUAUUUUUCAAUAUCCUUACAACCCCCCUUUUUUAUUUGCUGAUAUAUUUUUCUAAGAUUCCUUUUUCACAACUGAAAUUUCUACAAAAACAUAUGCCAGUUUUCAAGGAUUGCACAGGCUAUAUUUUACACAUAAAUGAAAACUUGCAAGUUGCUUUCAAUAUACAUAGCCCUUUUCUUACAAACCUUAUCUAAUUUUUAAUGUAAUUUUGCUAAGAAAAUCAAAGCAAAAUAAUUGAUGAUGAAAAAUGUAGAAUAUUUCAAAUAAAAAUAAAAUAGAAAAUAAUAAUAAUAAAAAAAUAUGAUUUUGAUUUUCUUUAUAAAAGAACUAUUUUGAACAAACAGAAUGAUUUAAUUUUUAUAACUUACAACAGAAAGAAAAAAAAAAUAGGGAUUAUUUGGGUUUUAUGACACACAAAAAUCUAACAAACAUGUUUUGGAACAUUUUAACGAAUAAGGGGAUAUCUGUCACUCAAAAAUUUCUUCUCUGACCCUCUAUAUACGAUAUGUUUUCUCUUCUUUUAAUAAAAAAGCAAUUAUUUCAGAACUCCUUUUAAAUGUACUCCUUACCUGGAAAAGUUUGAAAAAUUCUUUUAAUACUUAAGAUGAGGUUCCAUGAUAUCUAACCUUAAUAUUUUCUUUCUGAAUAAAGUGUAAUAUUCUUGUAUGAGUAAGAUUAUAAUUACUUUUUUUUUGAGCUAUUGUAAGGGAGAAAAAGAAAUAAUUUUAACACUCUGCAUAUGGCCCUUCUACCACAAAGACAUGCUCCUAAGUUUUUGCAUGGUUUUCCUUAUUUGUAAUUCAGAUACACGCUAGCUUUUCUCAAAAAGUUCUUGGGAUGUAACUGAAACUAUUUAAAAAAAAAAAAAAAAAAAUAAUAAUAAUAAAAAGCUUAACACCUACCUGGAAUAAAACUACCAAAUAAUUUUGAAUAUUAAUGUAAAAUAUAUACUUAUACAUUCUGAAGCUGAUUAAAAAUUAAUUUAUGCUUCAUUUAACUAUAUAUCACAAAGUUGCCUAGUAUUUUGGUCUCUUAACAUUAAAAAAAAAAAAAAAAAAAAAAAAAAAAAAAAAAAAAAAAAAAA